CCCUUAGAUGUUCUGGGCCGCACGCGCGCUACACUGAUGAACGCAACGAGACGACCUGUACCGAAAGGCAUGGGUAAACUUGUGAAAGUUCAUCGUGAUGGGGAUAGAUUAUUGCAAUUAUUAAUCUUCAACGAGGAAUUCCUAGUAAGCGCGAGUCAUCAGCUCGCGUCGAUUACGUCCCUGCCCUUUGUACACACCGCCCGUCGCUCCUACCGAUUGGGUGUGCUGGUGAAAUGUUCGGAUCGGCCGUUUGUCGCGGUUUCCGCGUCAUGUGGCUGAGAAGUUCAUUAAACCCUCCCACCUAGAGGAAGGAGAAGUCGUAACA
rnacentral:rRNA from 1 species